ACACGCAAGGUGCCAUUGCUUCUCCCAUGUUUAACAGCAGUGGUAUCAAAUAACACGCAAGGUGCCAUUCCUCUCCAAUAACUAGCAGCCUCUCUAACCAUUUUUCUGUGAUAGAGAGCUCUCCAGCGUUCCUGCAACCACCGAUCAAUAACACCGAUAUAGCCAAAGUUCCUGCUUUCGAUGAGAAUUCUGAAAAAGAAACUGAUGAUGUCGACUCUUUGGUGGAUGCAGGAGAGCUAUCUUCUAACCCACCAGAUGCUUUUGUUCCAUCUCUUGGAGCAUGGGCCAAACCUCUGACAUUCGCACCACCUGCUACUCCUCCAAUGCCAGCAACACCAUCAGAUUUUGAUCCACAGUACCUCAACAACCUACUUGAUUCCUUCUGGCCAACACUAAAUGAUGGAAUUGGGAAGAAAAAAAGAGAUACACAC
rnacentral:lncRNA from 1 species